UACGUAGGGUGCAAGCGUUGUCCGGAAUUAUUGGGCGUAAAGAGCUCGUAGGCGGUUCGUCACGUCGGCUGUGAAAUCCCGAGGCUCAACCUCGGGUCUGCAGUCGAUACGGGCGGGCUUGAGUACUGCAGGGGAGACUGGAAUUCCUGGUGUAGCGGUGAAAUGCGCAGAUAUCAGGAGGAACACCGGUGGCGAAGGCGGGUCUCUGGGCCGAUACUGACGCUGAGGAGCGAAAGCGUGGGGAGCGAACAGG
rnacentral:rRNA from 1 species